GCUCGCGCCUCUCCCUCCACACCUGCCCACAAGCUGAGGGAGCCGGCUCCGGCCUUGGCCAGCCCGGAAAGGGGCUCCCACAGUGCAGCGGCAGGCUGAAGGGUUCCUCAAGUGCCGCCAAAGUGGGAGCCCAGGCAGAGGAGGCGCCAAGAGCGAGCGAGGGCUGUGAGGACUGCCAGCACGCUGUCACCUCUCAGUACCACCAAUAUCAUGAUUAUUGAAUGAGGUUGCCUUGAUAAUUCUGCUGAUCUUGCCUGGCUUUACUAAUGUGCCUGAGGUUGUCUAGAAGAUGAAAUGGAAUGGGUGGAUUUGGUGGAAUAGGUGGAUUCGGUGGAAUGGAUGGAUUCAGUGGAAUGGGUGGAAUAGGAAGACGAAGGCUGGAGUUGGAUAAUGAUCCUUCUAUUAUGAGCUUUGACAAUUCUGGGACAUGGACUCUCGGUACAGAUUGCCCAAGACAUCUCACAUGACCAAGCAAUGGGACAUGUCUCUUCUUACCUCAUGAAACACCCUGCCGCACCCCGCCCCCUUCUGCCACCACCAAGUGAUCAUCCAGCUGACACUUGAGGAACUUUGAUGAUGAGGAGUUCAUCAGUCAUUGGUCAGACUAUUAAAUCUUUCCACAGCUUAGUGAGUUUAUUAUAGUUUUCUUGAUGCAUAAUUCUGCCUGCUACAGAGAUAGAAUUACUUAAGGAUGUUUGAAAUACAGGUAUACCUCAGAGAUACUGCAGGUUUGGUUCCAGACCACCAUAAUAAAGUGAAUAUAACAAUAAAA